UACGAAGGGGGCUAGCGUUGUUCGGAAUCACUGGGCGUAAAGGGCGCGUAGGCGGCCGAUCAAGUCGGGGGUGAAAGCCUGUGGCUCAACCACAGAAUUGCCUUCGAUACUGUUUGGCUUGAGACCGGAAGAGGUUAGUGGAACUGCGAGUGUAGAGGUGAAAUUCGUAGAUAUUCGCAAGAACACCAGUGGCGAAGGCGGCUGACUGGUCCGGUUUCUGACG
rnacentral:rRNA from 1 species